UGUUUUAGAAAGAAGGACAGCUGAUAAUGCUGAUGAAAUGAUGGAAAUAAAAGCACCUUUGAGUGUGGCAAUGUUGGAAGGUGGUAAAACUGCAGCAGUGCAGCACAGCAGGCACACCAAGUAUCUGUGAUGCAAUUAUGAGAGCUGGGAAAAUAGUUGCAUCUUUAAAUGGUGGGUGGUCUGGUUCCAGUGCCACAAUGAAGUGCAGCUACCAGCGAGGCACUUCGGGAUUUGUUAUCUGCAUUACACUCUCCACUAGCUUAUGUUGCCAAUAGUUACGGUUCCGACAUGGAGUACAGUUUUGAAAAAAGCUGUACUUGAUGUCGCACGAAUUGCGGCGUGAUGAUUUGGCAUGUCUGUUUGUUUGCUUAAGAAUAUUUUGUUUCCAAUUGUAGAGCAGCUGGCUCUUGACCAGCUCUUUGCCAUUACUUUGUAAGGAAGAACAAAUGAAUAAUAUUUGCUGUUACUUUGCAAGGGAACGAUGAAUUAUACCUAGUUUUUGGACUUCCG